AGGAGAAUCGCUAAAAACUGGUGAUGCUCGGAAGCCAGACAUACAUGCAGAUAAUGUGCCAUGGGAGAUGAAAUUAGUGAACGAAACGAAUACUGCAUUCAGCAGCAUGGAUUAUGCUCCGAAUAAUUGGGGUCAAAGAUCCUUACUGAAGCAGGUGCCUUCGCCCUCUGUUCCUCAGAUGCCUGCAGGACCCUUGCAACCUCUUCGCGAGUACACUUCACCUAAUCAGCAUCCACCAGGGCCAUUGCAACUCACUGCCCUCUCUCCUAUUGGAAGCGCCCCGGUGCGAACAGAAUGGACGCUGCCCAGAACAGCAAAUAAAUUGAAAAACAGACAGACGGAUGUAUGAAAGUGAGAAAAAUAUAUACUUUAUGGAAGGUGUAGAAUAAACGAAACUUCUUCGACAUUCCCUUCAAGUCACAUUCUUCAAAAUAAGGAGAAAAUGGAGGGGCGAGAGCACGUUUCUGGAGCCAGAAUCGAGCAACCCCCGACACCGAACCCUGGACGGUGUGGUGCAGGUGCUUUCGAUCCCCCGUUGAGACAAGUGCAUUUUGUGUGUGGUGCUAAUCUGAGAAUUAUUCACGCCCUUCUGACAUUUCCUUUGUCAUUUAUUUUAUUAAUUUCCUUAUCCUUCAACUCGGUUGGUUCGUGGAUGUUUCAAAUUUUAUUUUCACGCCCGAGCACUCUUUCUGCAUAUAUUUCUUAACAAGAAAACUGCACAUCUUUUCUAAGGAGAACUUGCUCCACCAGUGUUUUUCCAAGAUGUAUCGUCAGCAAGACCUGAAAAAUAAAUAUAAUCGGCUUACAUAGCGAACAGACGUUUUGUUAAACUUGAAAAUGGGUAUGCUGACACAUUGGAAAUGAAUGAGACGAAAAAGACGUUUCAAGCGUUAGGAAUUUUAGCUUCGAGUGAUCCAAGUGGAGAAAUUUUUUAAGGAACAGAAAAUUUUGCUUAAAGUAAUUACUCUGUUUUUAUAUUUUUUCAAAACCAUUUCUUGAUUUAGACAUAUGCGCUGGAGAAGUAUACAUUUUCUCAAGUAGUAGAAGUCCGUUGACUUAGUGGAUUCUGUAUUCUUUGGGAAAUCAGAUAUCAUAAAUGGCUCAAAGAAAAAAAUACAAAAGAUAUAAAAGUUUAAUAUGAAUUUAAAAAAAGACCGAAGCAUGUAGAUUACAAAUCUGAUAUUAUUAAAUUUUAUGAUGGCCACCGUAUAUUUUCAGGAAUCAUUAUUAUUAUGGUAAUUAAAUUAAUUACAUAAAAUGUUAAUUUUCGUCAAAACGUAUGUAUCUUAAUGUAUCUGAAAUGGGAAAAAGAAUUUUUUGCAGAACUGAAAUUCUUAUUCCUGGAAAUAUACAUUUGAAUUUCUAAGCUUUAUUUUCCUUUUAAAUACAACCUUUUAAACAAUAACCAGUUUCCAUUCAUUGCUUUUUUACAUAUUUUGUGAAACAAAACAUUUAUAUAUUUAGUUUUUCAUUUUUUACGAAAUUACGAAAAAUAAGUAUUGUAGUUUAAAAUAAAAUAUUUUAUUAUAUAAAUUUUAAUUGCAUAUAUUCUCUUUUGCAAGUAAACGAAGAAAAAAAUCAAAUAAUCGGAUUACAAAAUUUUUAAUAAUUUUUAAGAAACUCACUUUGACAAUUUAACCCUAAUAAACAUUUAUUUAUUGCGAUAAUAUUCAAUUUUUAUAAUUAUAACAUAUGUUAAAUAGUUUAUCACAGAAAUGAUUACAGUUAUAUUAUAAGUUCUCUAAUGUCUUAAAUUUGGGGGUAAGAGCAAGCGUCACGUUUAACUUUAAUAUGAUAUUAUUGCUCUGUAUAGAAAGGUUACAUUUCUUGUAACUUAAUUGAUACAUUGAGCAGGAGUAUAUUGGUAAAAAUUUCAAAAUUUUAGAGCCGAUGCAAAAUGUUGAUGAUUCCAUUGCUUAUUUCAACGAACUUCUACUAAUCUUAGAUUCUAAGGAUAGAAAAAGCGUGAAACGUAAUUCCCAAAACUACCCAGUGAAUGUAUCUUUUUUACCUCAAGGAAAAGAAUGUAUAUAAUAUAAAUAUUUAUCAUAUUGAACGUUAAACAAUUUAUUUUAUUUAAACAUUAUGGUGCUUUGCUUAAAAAAUGUCUGUCAAUACUACUCGAAUGAUCUAUCAUACGAGCAAAAUUACGUUUUAUUAAAGAUGUAGUAAUUUUCAAAUUGCUCAUUAAUGCUCACGUAUAAAAUUUUAAAAUCAUUAGUUUAAAACACUAUUGAAACGUUAUGGCUCCAGUUAAAAUUAUUUUCAGGUACAAGCCUUGCGAGUAUAACGUAUGAUCUAUGAAACAUACUGAAAACCAUAUUACUUCGUAAUUAUGCGUAAACUUGUGCAAUACAAAUUACCUUCAAGAAGCUCAACAAGCUUAUAAAAUGAAUUGCAAUUUUGCAUUCAAAUUUUAAAACAUUAAAUAGGAAAAUGAAAGGAAAUAUUUUAUGGGAAUUUUCUGAGUUCAUAUUAAAUAAAUAAUGCUUAUUUCUGUUUUGUUUUUACAAAUUUAAGGAUCUAACUUUACUUCAUUUUUCAAUCAAAUAACUCAAAUACCUUGUCUACAAAAACUAUAAAAGUAAAUUUGCUUACUGACAAUCACUAUUCUCCACUGAUAAUACAAAAUUCUGAGUUAUCAUUUUAGUUCCUUUUCAAAUUCCACUUUAUGGGAAACAAAUAAAGCUGCAUGUGUGCGUUUUUAAAUAGUAGCAAACCUAUUAUCAUCGUCAGUAUUAGCAGUGAAUUACAUUUGACAAUCUGAGCGUAUUAGAACAUAUAUAAUAUUUUAAUUUAAAUAAAGGUUAAGAGGAUUCUGAUCACGAAAGUUACCACGAAUAAGCAAAUUAAUACAUGUCGACACUAUUUCUAUUGAACCAUAAUUUUUUUAUGCUACUUUUUUCCAAAACCUUUCUUUAACAGUGUCUUCUGUUAUAUUUCGUGUGUAAACAUCUUGCCAUAUUUUAAUCAUUUGUAAUCAUAUAAUUUCUGCAUAUAUCUGAGUACAUUAUUACUAUUGCAUAAAGUUAACAAAGUUCACUCUUUUUUUAUAAUUUAAAAAAAUGAAACUGUAACUGAUUCUGCUGGUGCUAAAUGUAGUUAUCGAGAAUAAUGUUACGCUAAUUCCGCAACAAAUGCAGGUUAUCAUAAUUAAGACUAAAGAAGAAUCAAAGACAGAAUGCGGACGAAAGAUUUCAAAUAAUGCAGUUUUUUAUUCUAAAAUUUUCCGAAAUCUUUUACGUAAAGAUAGCAGCAGAAAUAAUUGAAAUCAUGGAGAUGCCUUUAUUACUGAAAUAAAAACUGUAUAUGCUGAUGUACUAUAAGUAAAUUCAAAUGAAAUAAUGAAUGAACUUGUACAGUAUGUGGUUUUAAAGGUUUAUCAGCGUUGCCAAGCAACGACGAACCUAUUCCUUUUAUUAUAAAAAAGAUAUUAAUAAAGCGGAUUUUUUUUUAAGAUCUAACUUGUGUUUCUGCUCCAAUAAACUGUUUUGUAAAGAAAACUGUAAAGACCAAAAAAAUGUUGUGUGUUCUUGUAACAUAAUCAUUAAAGAUUUACUUUUCAG